rfam:Gossypium arboreum cultivar AKA8401 contig_44186_1, whole genome shotgun sequence.
UAUUAAAAAAUUUAUCCAUUUAUAUAGUUAAAAUUUGGCGUAAUUGAUGGAAUAACCAAACAAUGACAAGUGGUGCGACACAUAUAUCUCAUGAUAACAUAUGGUAACCAAUUUUUAAUUAUAGAAAUUAAUGAAAUUUUUAAUU